GCUGAUUUAUUCUAAUCAUAAGUGUUUGGAACAGGUUCUAAAAUUGAGGUUAUUGUAUGAUCAGAUAUGUGAGAAUUUAAUAUUCUAAGACGUGUAUCAUUCGUGGGCCAAAGAGUUGAACUCACUGAUGAAUUUUGAAGCAAGAAAUAACCUGACUUCAAGUACAAUUUAUAAGAAAUUCUGAUGAUGCUACUGUAUCAGCCUUCCUCUUCAUUUCCUGAGAAGAAACCUAAUUCAAAUUUCUCUUCCACGACUGUUCAUUCACCCAGAGUGAAAAAAUUCAGAUCUAUUAUCUCUCAGUGUUAUUUUUUUAUCACUGUCUACUUCCUUUGAUGUAGUUGUAGAGAUGUGAAUUAAAUAGAUAAAUAGUAUGUAUCCCAUAAUACUGACACCACAAAUGGUAAGAAUUAUAGGAUCCAUAAGUUUGUAUAUUAAAUGUUACAUAAUUAUUCCAAUUUCAUGUCUAGCUUCAGAAAGACUUGCCCUGACACAAGUUCUGUCUUUUGUUAUUUUAAGUGACACCUCUUCCAGUGAUUCAUGGAGUGGAAUGUAUUUAAAUGGACUCGGUUCUGAGGAAACUGGAGUGCAAAUAAGAAUCACAUCCAUCCAUGCUCUUUCUCUGAAAUAUCUUUUAUAUGAGAAAAGCUGAAGUGUGCUGCAUUGAUUUCCUAUUGCUACUUAACAAAUUACCACACAUUUAGUGGUUUAAAAAAAAUUCAGAAUUCUAGAGGUCAGAACUCCUAAAAUCAGCAUGCCAGCUGGGCUACACUGCAGCUGAGGGAGCAAGGGGAGCUCUGUUGCCUGGCCUUCCUUGGCUCCUGACUUGCUGCUUGGCUUUCAAAGCCAGAUGCACAGCAACUGCUAGUUUCUCUGCCUGUUUUCCACUUUGUUCUUGUUUCCUCUUGUCAUCGCAUAGCCUUCCUUGAUUUUGAUCUCUUGCCACUCUCCUGCAAAAACUCUAGAAAUGACACGAGCCCGCCUAGAUAACCCAGGGUAAUCGUCCCAUAUGAAAAUCUUGAAUAUGAUCGCAUCUGAAAACUCACUUCUGCUAUGAAACGUAACAUAGUCACAGGUGCUAGGAUAUGGGAAUCUUAGGGGCCAGAGGCACUGUUCAACCUACCAUAGCAUACUCAUGACAUCCCUUUGUUUUCGUUUCAGUUUUUUUUUCCUUAGAAAAAUCUGUUUAUUCACUCUAUUUCAGUAUCUUCUGAAAAAGACUAGUAUGUUGGGUACUCAGGUGUGCCAAGCCCUAGACUUGAAAUACUGAGAUGAAUAUGGGAGGCAGCCACAUGCUCCCAGAGUUUGCCGUGCUUUGAAGCAAAGAGCCAAGUAAGAAGGCAUAUAAGUAAGGAGCUAGAUUGGAAGUGGAGCUGCCUGGACACCAUCCAGCAUCCUAUAAGGAUGCUUAACCCACUAAGCCAUAAUGCAAUCCUCAUUACUAUUUCAUUUAAAUCUGCCUAAAACUCCCAAAGGUAAGUAUCCUGUUCUAUCCUCCCAUAAUGGCUGGCACCUGUUCUUUGUGCCAAGCAACUUUUCAUUGAAUAAACAAGAAAGAAUUAAAUAUUUUCUCAGGAAAAAUCAUGAA